UUUUCUUACCCAAGCUCCUGGUUUUUGUUGGCACCCAAAGCCCCCUGUUUCUGGUGUCACCCCCAACUGGUUGUCCUAAAGGUGUAUGUUUUACCCCUAGACCAGGAUCUUGAACCAUUGUCACAAACCCCCUUUUUGGUGUCACACCGAACUGGUUCUCCUAAAGCUGUAUCUUUUGUUUCUAGAUCAGGAUCUUAAACAUUUUGUCUUCAAAUCACCAGGAGACUUUUUAAAUCGUGUCAAAAUGUGGAUCUGAACUGGUUGAAAGUGUCCCACCCAAAGCAGUGUCCAUGGUAGUGAGGUCCCUUCCAGAGUGCUGUCCCAGUUAUAUUCUCUGUAUUUUGUGGUAUUGAGAUUAUAGAAAGUUUAGUGUCUGAAACAUGCGUUUAAUGUGUAUUUUUAAACAAAUUUAUGGCAAUUAAAGAA